rnacentral:rRNA from 1 species
UACGAAGGGGGGCUAGCGUUGCUCGGAAUCACUGGGCGUAAAGGGCGCGUAGGCGGCCAUUCAAGUCGGGGGUGAAAGCCCAGGGCUCAACCCUGGAAUUGCCUUCGAUACUGUUUGGCUAGAGACCGGAAGAGGUAAGUGGAACUGCGAGUGUAGAGGUGAAAUUCGUAGAUAUUCGCAAGAACACCAGUGGCGAAGGCGGCUUACUGGUCCGGUUCUGACGCUGAGGCGCGAAAGCGUGGGGAGCAAACAGG